GACGAACGCUGGCGGCGUGCUUAGCACAUGCAAGUCGAACGGAAAGGCUCCAGCUUGCUGGAGUACUCGAGUGGCGAACGGGUGAGUAACACGUGGGUAAUCUGCCCUGCACUCUGGGAUAAGCCUGGGAAACUGGGUCUAAUACUGGAUAUGACCUUUCUCCUUAUGGGGUUUGGUGGAAAGUUUUUCGGUGUAGGAUGAGCCCGCGGCCUAUCAGCUUGUUGGUGGGGUGAUGGCCUAUCAAGGCGACGACGGGUAGCCGGCCGGAGAGGGGGAUCGGCCACCUUGGGACUGGGAUACGGCCCAGACUCCUACGGGAGGCAGCAGUGGGGAAUAUUGCACACUGGGCGGAGGCCUGAUGCAGCGACGCCGCGUGAGGGAUGACGGCCUUCGGGUUGUAAACCUCUUUCAGCAGGGACGAAGCGUAAGUGACGGUACCUGCAGAAGAAGCACCGGCUAACUACGUGCCAGCCGCCGCCGUAAUAC
rnacentral:rRNA from 1 species